GUGCCAGCAGCCGCGGUAAUACAGAGGUCCCGAGCGUUGUUCGGAUUCAUUGGGCGUAAAGGGUGCGUAGGUGGCGCUGUAAGUGGGGUGUGAAAUCCCGGGGCUUAACUCCGGAACUGCAUUCCAUACUGCGGUGCUUGAGGACUGGAGAGGAGACUGGAAUUUACGGUGUAGCAGUGAAAUGCGUAGAGAUCGUAAGGAAGACCAGUGGCGAAGGCGGGUCUCUGGACAGUUCCUGACACUGAGGCACGAAGGCCAGGGGAGCAAACGGGAUUAGAUACCCCCGUAGUCC
rnacentral:rRNA from 1 species